rnacentral:pre_miRNA from 1 species
UAAGUUUAUCCUAAGUCAAACCUGUUUAACUUUGUUCCAUUCUACAGAAAAAUGUGGUAAGAUCUACGACACCAAAUACACAUAGUGUGAAAAUACAUUUCAUAAAUAAUCUCAUGAGACUAGUUUGAUGAUCUAGGUGAUAAUAUAUUUUUCUAUAGAUUUGGUCAAACUUAAACAAGUUUGACUUAGGACAAACCCUA